rnacentral:lncRNA from 1 species
UGUUUGAAGGGGCUUAAGCUAUUCAAACCAUAUAAGUCGGUAUGAAACACCAAAACGGAAUGAUCAAUAACCGAUUACGUUUUGUAGUUUACAAAUUCUAAACUGGUUCCUGUCAAACUACAACACUUUGUUCGAGUGUAGUGAAAUACAAGCAGAAACCAGUUAGUUUGUAAACUGGUUCCUGGCUGAUUACUACACAAUGAUCAUGCAUAAUGAUAACACAAGCAGAUUCCAGUUUGUAUGAAAAAU